GACGAACGCUGGCGGCGUGCCUAAUACAUGCAAGUAGAACGCACAGUUUAUACCGUAGCUUGCUACACCAUAGACUGUGAGUUGCGAACGGGUGAGUAACGCGUAGGUAACCUGCCUGGUAGCGGGGGAUAACUAUUGGAAACGAUAGCUAAUACCGCAUAAUAUUAAUUAUUGCAUGAUAAUUAAUUGAAAGGUGCAAUUGCACCACUACCAGAUGGACCUGCGUUGUAUUAGCUAGUAGGUGAGGUAACGGCUCACCUAGGCGACGAUACAUAGCCGACCUGAGAGGGUGAUCGGCCACACUGGGACUGAGACAAGGCCCAGACUCCUAAGGGAGGCAGCAGUAGGGAAUCUUCGGCAAUGGACGAAAGUCUGACCGAGCAACGCCGCGUGAGUGAAGAAGGUUUUCGGAUCGUAAAGAUCUGUUGUAAGAGAAGAACGGGUGUGAGAGUGGAAAGUUCACACUGUGACGGUAUCUUACCAGAAAGGGACGGCUAACUACGUG
rnacentral:rRNA from 1 species